UUGAGUAGUCCUCGACUUACGACCGGUUGGGGGUCGUGGCAUUAAAAAGGUUGAGAACCACUGCUCUAGUUGAUAUCUCUGUUUGGGCUUCAAGCCAAGGUCACUCCUUCCAAGCAACGUGCAAAGCAAGGUCUUAGUGCUGUUCCUUUUGUCACCACUAGAUGUCAGUAAAUGUGUGUUUUUCAACCAGGACUUAUUUCUCAAAGGUUCAAUCCGGUAUUUUUUUUUUUAAAAAAGGAUAAAGUUUUCAAAAUAUUUUAAGUCUCCCAAAUUUUUCAAUGUUGCAACUUUAAAUUAUUUCCAAAUUAGUUUUAUAAUCUAUCUGCUUUCUCCCCCAAAAUAUUGAACCACCACUGUUCUUCUAGGGGGAGGGGCACCAGGGAACUCCCCCCCCUCCAUCUUCUUGCUUCUGGGAACCUUGCUUUUUGGGAUUCUUGUCUUCAGGGAAUUUCUUUUAAAUUGUAGAGCAGGAAAAAUACUCACACCCAGUUCCAAAAGCAUUGCUUAAAUGCUAAAUAGUGCUUUUUUUCCUGGCUGUUGGUAGCUUCUGACUGGCCGCUGGAUUGCAGCCAAUCUUUCAACCUGUUAGUUCAGAGAGCUUCCUUGGGUCGAACGGUUGGACCACAUCUCACUGUGAUCUACGAGGGUCCCCUCCAUCUUUGUCGCCUCUCUGGGGUGACUUUAGGUCCCAGCAGGAUACAAUUUGUAGCCGACUCCACAAUAUUUAUAGUCAAUGGCUGAAGAUACAAAUGCACACUUAAACCAAAUGUUGGACCUGGUUGUUAUGGAGCAGCUGCUGGCCCUUCUGCCCCCACAGAUGGAAAACUGGUUGCGGGAGUGUGAAGCAGAGACCAGCUCCCAGGCGGUGGCCCUGACGGAAGGUUUUCUCAUGAGUCAAGCAGAGGAGCAGAAGGAGCAAGUCAAGUUGCAGACUAGAGAUCCUAUGAGAAUCAGGAAUCCAUCAAAUCUCCCUCUGGAGCUGCUUUUCAGGAGGAUCUCUCAGGAUGCCACAAGUCAGGACAUCUCAGAUGGGAAGAAUAGAACGAAUUUGACUCCUAUCUAUGGUGGUGCUGAAAGAGUGGUUGAAACUCAAACUCAAAAUGGCCUUGUGUCCUUUAAGGAGGUGGCUGUGUAUUUCUCCAAAGAGGAGUGGUCUCAGCUGGAUGCCGACCAAAAAGCGCUGCAUUGGGAAGUCAUGCUGGAAAAUCAUAGGAACGUGGCAUCUUUGGGUAAUGGGGAAGAAUAUGAAGAUUCCUGGGAACUACUCCAAAUGAUCACUCAUGGGUAUAAUAUGAAGAAUGCCACAGAUCUAAUGGAAGAAGAAAGCCAUGAGAGAAACCAGUCAAAUAACUGCAAUUGGGAAAAUUCAUUUUCUAUUCACGCACCAACUAAAGCCUCUGUGGUCCAACAAAGGAAAAUAAAAAAGAAAUAUAUUGGAAAAGAUAUAAACGUACUCAUAAAUAAAUUAAAUGUAAAUAAAUACUAUCAAACUCAAAUCAAAGGAGAAGAUUAUAUAUGUAGAGACAGUGGAAAAAGUUACAAAUGGACCUUGUCUCUUUCUCACAAAAAGGGGUCCCGUACAUCUCAAAAAAGGACCCGCGCAGGCGAGAAACCCUAUAAAUGCAUGGAGUGUGGAAAGAGCUUUAUUUUUAGACGUUAUCUAAAGUCACAUAGAAGGAUCCAUACAGGAGAGAAGUCCUAUGAAUGCAUGGAGUGUGGGAAGAGCUUUACUCAGAACAGUAGUCUUAAUUCCCAUAAAAGGAUCCACACAGGUGAGAAGCCCUAUAAAUGCAUGGAAUGUGGGAAGAGCUUUACUCAGAACAGUGGUCUUAGUUCCCAUAAAAGGAUCCACACAGGUGAGAAGCCCUAUAAAUGCAUGGAGUGUGGAAAGAGCUUCACUUUUAGUCAUUCUCUUACUUUGCAUUACCGGAUCCAUACAGGGGAAAAGCCAUAUAAAUGCACUGAGUGUGGAAAGAGCUUCGCUUGUAGUCAUUAUCUUACUUCACAUUACCGGAUCCAUACAGGGCAGAAGCCAUAUAAAUGUAUGGAGUGUGGAAAGAACUUUACUCACAUAAAGACUCUUGCUUCCCAUAAAAGGAUCCACACAGGGGAGAAGCCCUAUAAAUGCAUGGAGUGUGGAAAGAACUUUACUCACUUCAAAAGUCUUACUUGCCAUAAAAGAAUCCACAUAAAGGAGAAGCUCUAUAAAUGCAAGGAGUGUGGAAAGAGCUUCACUUGUAGUAAUUCUCUUACUUUGCAUUACCGGAGCCAUACAGCAGGGAAGUCAUAUAAAUGCAUGGAAUGUGGAAAGACGUUCACUCAGAGCCACAGUCUUGCUUUCCAUAAAAUUAUCCACACAGGGGAGAAGCCCUACAAAUGUACGGAGUGUGGAAAGAGCUUCACUCUCAGUACUUCUCUUAUUUCACAUUACUGGCUUCAUACAGCGGAGAAGCCCUAUAAAUGCAUGGAGUGUGGAAAGAGCUUCGCUCACAGUAAGUCUCUUACUUCCCAUUACUGGAUCCAUACAGGGGAGAAGCCCUAUAAGUGCACAGAGUGUGAAAAGAGCUUCUGUUACAAUUCUUCUCUUACUGUUCAUAAACGAAUCCACACAGGAGAGAAGCCCUAUAAAUGCAUGGAGUGUGGAAAGAGCUUCGUUCACAAUAAUUCUCUUACUUCCCAUUACUGGAUGCAUACAGGAGAGAAGCCCUAUAAGUGCACAGAGUGUGGAAAGAGCUUCUAUCACAAUUCUUCUCUUAUUGUUCAUAAAAGGAUCCACACAGGAGAGAAGCCCUAUAAAUGCAUUGAUUGUGGAAAGAGCUUCCCUAAGAGCGGUGACCUUAUUUUCCAUAGAAAUAUCCACAUAGGGGAGAAACCAUAUAAAUGCAUGGAGUGCGGAAAGAGCUUCAUUAAGAACUGCCUACUUAUUUACCAUAACAGGAUGCAUACCGGGGAGAAGCCUUUUAAAUGCCUGGAGUGUGAUGCAGAAACUAGAAUCAUCUCAACAAUCUUCUAAUAACAAAAAGUUAACCCUUGGAUGAAGAGGCCUGAAUAGCCUUUGGUCAGUUCUGCAGUUACCCGAAUAGUCCUAUGAAUUGAAAGGUGUUUGGAGAUGCACAAGAUUCCUCCGACCUAUCUGGAAUUUCUUUGCAGGACAGACAAAGAAUGCAGAAACAACCCUUAGCAAGUGAGGGAACUGGAAAAGACCCCUCUGCUGUUGAGCCUGGCAGCUGUGGGAAGAUCUGGGCAAGAACUGAAGAUGCUGGAGAAGAAAACCAUCAUCCGUUCAGAAAUUCAGCCUGGAACUUCAGAAACAUCCAAUACCAGAAGACUGAAGGUCCCCGAGGACUUUGCAGCCGACUCCACAACUUUUAUAGGCAGUGGCUGAGCUUAGAAAAGCACACUAAAACCCAAAUGUUGGACCUGGUUGUUCUGCAGCAGCUGCUGGCCCUUCUGCCCCCCCAGAUGGCAAACUGGUUGCAGGAGUGUGGAGCAGAGACCAGCUCUCAAGUGGUGGCCCUGGCGGAAGGCUUCCUCCUGAGUCAGGCAGAGGAGCAGAAGGAGCAAGUCGAAUUGCAGGUGAAAGACCUUCAUGUUUGAAGUCCAGAAGAAUGUGUUUGAAUUUUUCACCCCUCGCUUCCCUACUUCUCUGAUCUUCAUAAUAUGUGGAUAUGUUUUACUAGUUCUUGCAGGACAUUGUUCCAUUAUCCAUGCUAGAACAUAGACUGGAGAUAGCUGUUUCUUCCUUACAUUCUAGGCUCAUUGAUUGAUAUUGGGACAUUGUUGUUGUUUUUAGAGAACAAGAAUCCACUUCAUGUUGUGUAAUGUCUUAUUCAAGUCUUUCCCUCUGCAGAGCAGAGAUCCUAUGAGACUCAUGAAUCCAUCAAACCCCCUCAGGAACUGUUUUUCAGGAGGAUCUAUCAGGAAUCUGCAAGUCAGGACAUCUCAGAUGGGAAGAAUAGAACGAAUUUGACUGCUUUUAAUGGUGGUGCUGAAAGAGUGGUUAAAACUCCAAGUCAAGUAAGAAAGGAGGGUCUUGUGUCCUUUAAGGAGGUGACUGUGUAUUUCUCUGAAGAGGAGUGGUCUCAGCUAAAUGCUGACCAAAAAGCACUGCAUUGGGAAGUCAUGCUAGAAAAUCAUAGGAACAUGGCCUCUUUGGGUAAUAAUGGGGAGGAAAAUGAAGAUUCCAAGGAACUAUUCCAAGUGAUCACUCGUGGAUACAAUAUGAAGAACCCUAUAAUUGUAGCUGAAAUAGAAAGCCAUGAGAGAAACCAGUCAAAUAAUUGCAAUCAGGAAAGUUCAUCUUCUGUUCAUUUCCCGACUGAAGUUUCUGUGGCCCAACAAGGAAUAAUAAAAAACAAAUAUAUUGGAAAACAGAUAAAGGUAUUAAUAAACAAAUUAGAUGUAAAUAAAUAGUAUCAAUCCCAAACCAAAGGAGAUUAUAUAUGUAGAGAGAAUGUACAAAAUUACAAAUGGACCUUGUCUGUUCCUCAUAAAAAUGGAUCCUUUUAAACCAUUCUUCCUCUAUAGCAGAAAUGAGAAUGGGAACUUCCUCUGAAGUGUGUGAUUAAA